AUUGCUGUAGUAUAAAAAGUAUAAUUGUUUUAAGCUCAGUUGGUUGUUUCGGUGAUU
rnacentral:tRNA from 1 species